rnacentral:rRNA from 1 species
CACGGCCUACGGGGGGCAGCAGUGAGGAAUAUUGGUCAAUGGUCGGGAGACUGAACCAGCCACGCCGCGUGAGGGAUGAAGGUACAGAGUAUCGUAAACCUCUUUUGUCAGGGAACAAAGGCGGGGACGUGUCCCCGGAUGAGUGUACCUGAAGAAAAAGCAUCGGCUAACUCCGUGCCAGCAGCCGCGGUAAUACGUAGGGGGCAAGCGUUAUCCGGAUUUACUGGGGGUAAAGGGAGCGUAGACGGCUGUGCAAGCCUGAAGUGAAAUGCCGGGGCCCAACCCCGGAACUGCUUUGGAAACUG